UACAUUAUUUCCCAAGAGAGAUUUGAAUAAUGAUAUAUUCAACAUAUACAAAAUUUUCUUGACAGCGUUAAAGCGGUAUGUUAGAAUACAACAGUAAGCGCUACAUAUAUCGAGCGUUUGCGGAAAUUUUUAGGAGGUAUGUCUACAUGACAGGAAAAGUUAAAUGGUUUAAUGCGGAAAAAGGUUUUGGCUUUAUCGAGACCGAAGAGGGUUCGGACGUCUUCGUACAUUUUUCCGCGAUUGCCAUGGACGGUUAUAAGACGCUUGAAGACGGAGCGGAAGUUGAAUUCGACGUUAUCGAGGGCGCUAAAGGACCGCAAGCUGUCGAUGUUAAACGUGUUUAAUAUAUAUUUUAAU
rnacentral:sRNA from 1 species